GCGUCGGUGGUGUAGCGGUAACAUUGGGUCUUCCCACGUCUCCGUCAUCACAGACUGGCCUAGCUCCGGGUUCGACUCCCGGCCGACGCA